UGGGGAAUUUUGGACAAUGGGCGAAAGCCUGAUCCAGCAAUGCCGCGUGUGUGAAGAAGGCCUUCGGGUUGUAAAGCACUUUUGUCCGGAAAGAAAUCCUUGGCUCUAAUACAGUCGGGGGAUGACGGUACCGGAAGAAUAAGCACCGGCUAACUACGUGCCAGCAGCCGCGGUAAUACGUAGGGUGCAAGCGUUAAUCGGAAUUACUGGGCGUAAAGCGUGCGCAGGCGGUUUGCUAAGACCGAUGUGAAUCCCGGGCUCAACCUGGGAACUGCAUUGGUGACUGGCAGGCUAGAGUAUGGCAGAGGGGGGUUAGAAUUCCACGUGUAGCAGUGAAAUGCGUAGAGAUGUGGAGGAUACCGAUGGCGAAGGCAGCCCCUGGGCCAAUACUGACGCUCAUGCACGAAAGCGUGGGGAGCAAACAGGAUUAGAUACCCUGGUAGUCCACGCCCUAAACGAUGUCAACUAGUUGUUGGGGAUUCAUUUCCUUAGUAACUAGCUAACGCGUGAAGUUGACCGCCUGGGGAGUA
rnacentral:rRNA from 1 species